GACGAACGCUGGCGGCGUGCUUAACACAUGCAAGUCGAACGAAGAGCGAUGGAUUCUUGCUUCUAUCACUCUUAGUGGCGUACGUGUGAGUAACGCGUAAUCAACCUGCCCUUCAGAGGGGUACAACAGUUGGAAACGACUUCUAAUGCCGCAUACGAUCUGACCUCGGCAUCUAGGAUAUAUGAAAGUUGUCCUCUAUUUAUAAGCUAUCACUUAAGGAGGGGAUUGCGUCUGAUUAGCUAGUUGGUGUGGUAACGGCCCACCAAGGGGAUGAUCAGUAGAAGGACAGAGAGGAGGAACGGACAAAAUGGGAAGGAGACAAGGACCAGAAGGAUACGGGAGGGAGCAGUGGGGAAACAUGCGAAAAGGAGGAAAGACUGAAGGAGAAAAGCCGAGGGAGGGAUGACGGACUUAGGGUUGUAAAGAUCGGUUAAUCGGGACGAAAGGCCUUCUUGCGAAUAGUUAGAAGGAUUGACGGUACCGGAAUAGAAAGCAACGGCUAACUACGUG
rnacentral:rRNA from 1 species